UGGUUUAAAACAUUAAUAAUUUUUAACUAAUUUGAUGCAUUAAAUGAUUUUGAAAUUACAUACUCCUUGGAAAGAGAUUCCAUCUGAUGAGGUAAGUUUACCGAAAUUGUUUUGGGGUGACCAAAGAGGAUAAGUUUACCGAAAUUACAAAAAAAAUGGAUUGGGUGUUUUGAUGAGUUCGUCAUCUGGAACUGAGCUAGCUUUAAAAAGAGAACCGGCAUUAAUUCCUUGGAAAGAGAUUCCAUCUGAUGAGGUCUCGAAAACCUGUGACGGUAAAGAACGCCAAAAUUGCCAAGGAAAGCAUGAACAGCGGAGAGAAAAGUGGAGGAGCAUCGGAUUGCAGAGUAGAUGUGGCAUUGGAAUUCAUGAGAUUAGCUAGGAUCAGAGAUGACCAAAAUCAUGCUCGUGAGAUGGUGUAUGUUUACGCAGACAGAUGUAAUAGUGGAGGCGAUACCUUGCAAAAAAAUUAUCCGUUGAUAAAAGAUCACGAUGAAAUUACGGUUUGGGUUCUUCGAAGUUGAUUUGAUGUUGCCAUCUCGUCGGUGGAUUUGAGCUCUGUUCAGUACCAUUUUGGGUGUUACUCUUCAUCUCUACGUUGAUGUUUAGCUUCAAAACGUAAAGAAGACCAGUUCAAGUUCUCUGACCCAGAGCAACGAUUUGUCACUCAGUUCUGAUUGGGUCAGUUGGAUCUGCCGCUGUUGUGGAGACAUGCUAAAGAAAUGGUCAUCUUAGUGCGCCAUUUGGUUAUUUAUGUUAAGCUAGACGGGCUUCCAACCUAAAACCAAUUGGUGGUAAGUGGAGUGACCAUUCUAUCUUAUAUAUUGCUUAGGAUCCCUUCCAAUAUCCGAUGUGGGACAUUUAUCCCUAAUACGCCCCCUCGAGAUGAUGGCUCUUUGAGCGUCAAUCUCGGAAUUGAGCGUCAAUCUCGGAAUGCUUGGGCAAGGAUCGAUGGACCGACUUUGGGCUGGAUCGAUAAUGGAUCGGAUUGGACUGCGUGGAUCGGGUUCUGAUACCAUGUUAAGCUAGAUGGACUUCCAACCUAAAACCAAUUGGUGCUAAGUGGAGUGACCCAUCUAUCUUAUAUAUUGCUUAGGAUCCCUUCCAAUAUCCGAUGUGGGACAUUUAUCCCUAAUACGCCUCCUCGAGAUGAUGACUCUUUGAGCAUCAAUCUCGGAAUGCUUGGGCAAGGAUCGAUGGGCCGACUUUGGGCUGGAUCGAUAAUGGAUCGGAUUGGACUGCGUGGAUCGGGUUCUGAUACCAUGUUAAGCUAGAUGGGCUUCCAACCUAAAACCAAUUGGUGCUAAGUGGAGUGACCCAUCUAUCUUAUAUAUUGCUUAGGAUCCCUUCCAAUAUCCGAUGUGGGAUAUUUAUCCCUAAUAGUUUAGGCAGAUUGUUUUUUUUUUGCAGGUUAUGAUCUUUAUCUAGUAUUAUCUCUAUCUCAAUCUAGUAUUCUUGUUCAGAAGAUGUGCGUACCGCCGACUGCUGCCUUUUGGUUCUUUGUGGUUGUUCCAUCAACUUACUCCGCUUAUCCAGUUUUUUCAGUGGUUCAGUGAACAUAUCGGUUAUAUUUUGAUGAAGUAAUUGAAAUUUAGCUACUCCAGUAGGAAGAAAAACUAAGAUGAUUAAAAAGUCCUUUAGGCUCGGAAAAUGCAUCAAUGCGGGUAAAUUUACGUUAAUUCCACCUUCAGGAACUAUAUCUACUCCGGUUGAGAACGGAGAACGAUUCCCAAGAUUUCUUGACAUUUUUAGGAUAUCACGUUGACUAGGUUUGUGUAAGAGAAACUAGUUAGGGGAUGGAUUGAACCAGAACUUUGUUUGAUUCAAAAUUGUAACCAAUACAGAAACUGAGACGUUUUUUUCUAUAAUAUAAAUAUACAUUAAAUGUAUA
rnacentral:lncRNA from 1 species